CUUGCUUUGACAUGACAUCCUAAAAUUGGAACAAUAUAGAGAUGUUAGCAAUGGACCCUGUGCAAGAAGGACAUGCAGAUUUGUAAAGCAAUUAUUUCUAUU